GGCCCGGUGGUGUAACGGAUGUGCACGCCUGUUUAUCAGACAGGAAGUCCCAGUUCGAUUCUGGGUCGGGCCG
rnacentral:tRNA from 1 species